UUGCUGUUGCUGCAACGGCGGCUGUUGCUGCUGCUGCCAGUACGGGUUCUGGCCACCCCACUGCUGCUGCGGUUGUGCCUGCGCCUGCUGUGUCGCCCCGUUAUUGCGCUGUUGCUGCUGCAGCUGGGGUUGCUGGCCCUGCAUCCAGCGUUGCUGUUGCAUCUGCUGCUGUGGUUGUGCGGCCGCCCAUUGAUUUUGCUGCUGGUUCCAUUGUUGCUGGCCCCACUGCUGCUGCUGCUGGUUCCACUGCUGCUGCUGACUCCACUGUUGUGGCUGCUGCUGCUGUGGCUGGUUGCCCCACGCCUGCUGCUGGCCCCGCCACUGCUCCUGAUUAUUCCACUGCUGCUGCUGUUGCUGCUGCUGCUGCCCACCCCAAGCCUGCUGUUGUUGGGCGUUCCACUGCUGCUGCAGGUUGCCCCACGCCUGCUGCUGCUGUGGCUGGCUCCAUUGGGCUUGCUGGGGCCACUGCUGCUGCUGCUGCUGCGGGCCGGCCCACGCCUGUUGCGCCUGCUG
rnacentral:lncRNA from 1 species